UGGGGAAUUUUGCGCAAUGGGCGAAAGCCUGACGCAGCAACGCCGCGUGGAGGAUGAAGGUCUUCGGAUCGUAAACUCCUGUCAGUAGGGACGAAUGCUUCGCAAGAAGUUUGACUGUACCUGCUGAGGAAGCCACGGCUAACUCCGUGCCAGCAGCCGCGGUAAUACGGAGGUGGCAAGCGUUGUUCGGAAUUACUGGGCGUAAAGGGCGCGUAGGCGGCUUAGCAAGUCAGAUGUGAAAUCCCUAAGCUUAACUUGGGAAUUGCAUCUGAAACUGUUGAGCUUGAGUCCUGGAGGGGAUAGUGGAAUUCCCAGUGUAGCGGUGAAAUGCGUAGAUAUUGGGAGGAACACCUGCGGCGAAGGCGGCUAUCUGGACAGUGACUGACGCUGAGGCGCGAAAGCUAGGGGAGCGAACGGG
rnacentral:rRNA from 1 species